ACUAAAAAGCAACCAAAGAAGACUCACCCAAAACUCGCGCGGGAAAAGCCUUCUCUCUGCAACGUGUUCCCUGCAGGACUUAUUAAAACAACAGAGAUUUAACCAGUAUAAUGGAGCCAUUGGUAAAAACACAGAAAGAAAGAAGAUGCCGAUUAAGGCAGAAAAAAAAAAUAUUGAAGUUCAUUAAUUUCCUUCUCGCAACAGUGGGCGGAAUUUAAGUGAGAGAAAGCAGGUGGGAUAUUUGAGUGUCUCCUCAGGCCCCUGAGAAGAGUCUGGAGACUCCUGUGCUGCCGUGGACCUGAAGAGACUGAAAUCAAACUCUCAGUGGAAGAAACGUCACCACUUUUCAGUGGCCAUAGCUCUGUCCGUCCAUGGUGAAGAUCCUCAGGUUGUUUAUCUUCACUGAGAUGAUAAUAUUGAAUGAAGACCAGACAAACAACUGAAAUUUUGGACCUACAUUUUAAAAUCAAGUUUAAAAGACUGAGAAGAUGGAUAUACUUAUCCUCAAAUCAUCGGCCCAGCUGUCCGACAUGUCCGUCCGUCAUACUGACAUGAAAUGUGUUUCUGCUGCCAGAAUGUGAUGUGUAACGGCCAAGGUACUUUAUCAUUAUUACCUGCUCAGGUGGUCACACUUUGCGCAAGCUUUUCAGCGAUUCUCUUCAAACGUCUGGACAGCUUGAUCUUCACUGUUGCCAAACUGACAGUAGUGCACAAACAGACCCAAGUUGAUUGGUUUAGGUCCAUGCAAGGAGGCAUUAGAUCAUUAGCAAGAUAAUGAAGUGCUGUACCAGUGAAGUGUCCUUAAAGUUUUGACAGGUACUGUUGUUUCAAGUAUUGUCUGUUAGUAAUAAUUUUAAUAUCUCUUUUGAUACAUUUCAUUUAGGUUUUGUGCUGGUCAGUACUCCACAGGGUAGUUAAUGAUUUUGUUAGUAUUUACAAUGGUUUCUUACAAUGGAUUGUACCACUGCUGAUGGAUUUUUCACGCUGUUCUACUUGAACCUCUUAAAGGGAAAGUUCACCCAAAAAUGAAAAUUCUGUCAUUAACUUUUUGUGAGAAACAAAAAGGUGUUUUAAAGAAUGUUAGUAAGCAAACAGUUUUGGUUACCAUUGACUUCCACUGCAUGGCCCAAAAAAAAAAAAAAAAACUUUUAUAGACUAAACUAUCUUUUGUUACACAUAAGAAAAAGUUAUACAGGUUUGCAUUAGGGGGAGUAAAGUGACAGAAGUUGAAUUGUCCUGGCUGAAUUUUCCCUUCAAGCAGAGGUUUGUCACUCAGGGCAUGACUGUUUACAGUCAGGAUUGGAAAUGUAAUUUAUAAUAUGUGGAGAUACAAUUAUUUGCAACAUGAUAAAUUUUUUGGAUGAUACACACUCCACUUUACUCUGAAACUGCUAAAAUAUCAACCAAGUUUGGAUAUGUUUGUAUUUAAAUUGAUUUAAAUGAUAGGAACAGAAAAGAGAUGGUCAUAAUUGGCUCUCUUGACUCAGGCAAUGAUAAAUCCAACAGUAUCAGGGACAUUUUCUGUUUAUAUGCCCACUCCAAAACCUGUCUGGUUUAGGGACUCCCCUAAAAUCCAAGCAAGCACGGGAUUUCUUCGGGAGUGUUGCAAUACAUUUUUUGUCACCAUUGCUUGAGUAUUUAUAGUAGGCAUGUAGGAGGUUAUGAUUUCUCACAAUGUGCCUACACUAGAAGUAAGUGACAAACUAAAUCACUUCCAUUCCCUACCAACAAAGCUGUCUACAGUGCAAAUGAGCAAUAUUGCACACCACUUAAUUUGAGGAGGUUUGUUUUAAAAGGAUACUGGUUGUUUCCUUUGAUUCAACCCCAAAAAAUGACAAGUACAAUAAUGCUUUUGUGACACUUACCUUCAUAAAAGGAAUAGUCUUCUCACUUCUACAGCUAGUCCAGAUUGGUGCCUGUCCUGAAGCAGGAUUUCUCAACUCUGGCGCUGGAGAGCCACUGAUCAAACUCACCUGCUUGUAGUUUUCCAGUAAUCCCGAAGACCUUAAGUAGCUCAGGUGGAUUUUAUCAGUUGAGAAACCCAGUCAUGAAGGUUCUUGCUCAAUUGUGCCUUCUUUUGUUUAUUUAGGUUUUUGUAAAGAAGCCUAAGCACUGUUUUUUUUUUAAUUGUCCAAAAAGGUGUGUAUAUGAAUGCAAUACUGUGAUAUCUGUAAGGAAGUUGGUUAUUAGAUAUAUAUAUAUAUAUAUAUAUAUAUUUUUUUUUUUUUUGUCUACAAGUGUUUGUACAUGUUGCUGUUAUCAUACACAGCCUAAAUGUGUUAUAUGUUUUGAACAAAUAAAGUUCACGAUCCAAAUCCAUUUUGCUGCAUUUGUUUAUAUUGCACUAGAGGGCAUGCAGCGCAUAGGCAAAUGAGCAUCAAGUCUUUACCAGGCAUGUCUCCAGUUACGUAUGCAAAAUAGGAAGUUUUUACGUAAUGCAUCAGUGUAUAUAAACAAGUUAUAGAAGAGACAGAAUAUCAUAACUUACUGCAAUGCUUCACUACUAAGAGAUUAACAGUAAAGUUAACAGUACACAGAGUUUAGGUUUAAAAGUUAAUCAGAGUUUUAAAAAAGUUCAUCACGAAACAAAAACAAUCAUGAAUCAUCCAGGU